UACGAAGGGGGCUAGCGUUGCUCGGAAUCACUGGGCGUAAAGCGCACGUAGGCGGCUUUUUAAGUCAGGGGUGAAAUCCUGGAGCUCAACUCCAGAACUGCCUUUGAUACUGAGAAGCUUGAGUCCGGGAGAGGUGAGUGGAACUGCGAGUGUAGAGGUGAAAUUCGUAGAUAUUCGCAAGAACACCAGUGGCGAAGGCGGCUCUCUGGGACGUGACUGACGCUGAGACGCGAAAGCGUGGGGAGCAAACAGG
rnacentral:rRNA from 1 species